rnacentral:rRNA from 1 species
UACGUAGGUGGCAAGCGUUGUCCGGAAUUAUUGGGCGUAAAGCGCGCGCAGGCGGUCCUUUAAGUCUGAUGUGAAAGCCCACGGCUCAACCGUGGAGGGUCAUUGGAAACUGGGGGACUUGAGUGCAGAAGGAGGAGAGUGGAAUUCCGGGUGUAGCGGAUGAAAUGCGUAGAUAUCCGGAGGAACACCGGGUGGCGAAGGCGGCUUCCUGGACCGACA